rnacentral:lncRNA from 10 species
CGGGCACGCGCACAGAGCUGUCUGCAGACAGAGGCGCCUGGAGCAGGAUGCAGGGUCAGUAGGUUUCAUGCUGCCUGGACUUUCCAAAAAGGAUGUUUGCUGACGGGAUGGCUUGUUGGAGGAGGAAGAUUCUGUAGAAAUUCAGUUCCCUUGUAUGUUCCCAGCCUCUGGCAGGAGUUGGGGAUAAAAUUGAGCCCGUGGUACAAUGGGGAGACAGGUGCUAAGAAGAAAAUAAACAGAGAACGUCUUGCAGUGGGCAGCCAUUUCAGGAGGUAAAUGCCGGGGGGUGGUGUUUGAACAGUGACGGAAGGACAUGAAGAAGCGAGCGUGUGAAGGUGUGGAAGAAGUACAAUCCAUGCAGAAGAACCAGCAAGCCUUCUUUCCAUCUGGCAGUAUUAUGCAAGAUUCGGAACGAAUCUCCUCCUCCUCUCUUGCCUCUUCUCUUUUCUUUUAAAAAACCAAUUGAGAUUAUUAAAACCAAGAGGCCCCUAUCAAAGUUCUUUUACCCAAAAACUUUUGUCAAGUAGAACUCAUAUCUGGCUAAGUCACCUCCCA